rnacentral:lncRNA from 1 species
AGUUCCUUGGAGGAAACAGGCAGGGAGCUGUGGCACAGAAGACAUGAUUGAAUGGUACAGGGUAGGAGACUGUAGGCAUAGAUACAGCCCUCAGAGGAGGCACGGGGAAGAGUGGCAUUCCAGAUGAGAUUUGAGCAAGGUUCCUGUAGUCAGUGACUAAAUAAACCCUCGUUCAGCUUCCUGGAAGACUGGAGAAGGCAAGAAGCUGGGGAAGGAGUCAGACUGAUCGAGGGAGCUUGAGACACAUCUGAAGAGGGCAUCGGAUCCCAUUACAGAUGGUUGUGAGCCACCAUGUGGAUGCUGGGAUUUGAACUCGGGACCUCUGGAAGAACAGUCAUUGCUCCUAACCACUGAGCCAUCUCUCCAGCCCUCACUACCACAUUGUUAAAUGCAGCCCUCCGCUACCUCCUAAGUCCAGAGUGCCUUGUGUUCUCAUACUGACCACCAGGAUCGGAUGGUUUGACUUCUUCCUGAUGUCUGUGGAACUACCUAGGCCAUCAAGAGAGUGCACAUCUGAAAAGCCACCAAGUAUCUAAAUGAUGUCACUUUAAAAAUCCACCUUGAGCUAUUCCAGAGGCACAAUGGUGGGGUUAGUAGGAGCAGUGAGACUGGACCAAAGAGUGGUCCGUGACUGAAAACACAGAGGGGGAUGCUGAUUCUUGAGUCACUGAACAUCUCCGGGUGAGCUAAACAUCCACAGUGCAUUGUCGAACUUAAGACACAGCAUCCAGUUAACCCACCAGUGAGCUCCCCUGCCUCAUCAAGAUGACCUCAACGAAAACAAACUGUCCCUAACGAGGAGACUGCACUGAAGCAAACCACAUCCCAGGGGAAACUGCAGAACAAAAGCUUUUGGCACCAGAACAAAUUUAGCAUAAAAUGAGUGCAAAUAAAA